rnacentral:rRNA from 1 species
GACGAACGCUGGCGGCGUGCUUAACACAUGCAAGUCGAACGGAAAGGCCCUGCUUUUGUGGGGUGCUCGAGUGGCGAACGGGUGAGUAACACGUGAGUAACCUGCCCUUGACUUUGGGAUAACUUCAGGAAACUGGGGCUACUACCGGAUCGGAGCUCCUGCUGCAUGGUGGGGGUUGGAAAGUUUCGGCGGUUGGGGAUGGACUCGCGGCUUAUCAGCUUGUUGGUGGGGUGGUGGCUUACCAAGGCUUUGACGGGUAGCCGGCCUGAGAGGGGGAACGGCCACAAUGGGACUGAGAUACGGCCCAGACUCCUACGGGGGGCAGGGGUGGGGAAUGUUGCACAAUGGGCGGAAGCCUGAUGCAGCAACGCCGCGUGUGGGAAGACGGCCUUCGGGUUGUAAACCGCUUUCGCCUGUGACGAAGCGGUAGUGACGGUAAUGGGUAAAGAAGCACCGGCUAACUACGUG